AGAGUUUGAUCCUGGCUCAGAACGAACGCUGGCGGCGCGCCUAAUACAUGCAAGUCGAGCGGGAAGACGUAGCAAUACGUUUGUAAAGCGGCGAACGGGUGAGGAAUACAUGGGUAACCUACCCUCGAGUGGGGAAUAACUAGCCGAAAGGUUAGCUAAUACCGCAUACGCUUCCCGGACUGCGGUUCGGGAAAGAAAGCGAUACCGUGGGUAUCGCGCUCUUGGAUGGGCUCAUGUCCUAUCAGCUUGUUGGUGAGGUAAUGGCUCACCAAGGCUUCGACGGGUAGCUGGUCUGAGAGGACGAUCAGCCACACUGGCACUGCGACACGGGCCAGACUCCUACGGGAGGCAGCAGUAAGGAAUAUUGCGCAAUGGACGAAAGUCUGACGCAGCGACGCCGCGUGGGGGAUGAAGGUCUUCGGAUUGUAAACCCCUUUCGGCAGGGAAGAUGGAACGGGCAACCGUUCGGACGGUACCUGCAGAAGCAGCCACGGCUAACUUCGUGCCAGCAGCCGCGGUAAUACGAAGGUGGCAAGCGUUGUUCGGAUUCACUGGGCGUACAGGGAGCGUAGGCGGUUAGGUAAGCCCUCCGUGAAAAUCUCCGGGCCUAACCCGGAAAGUGCAGAGGGGACUGCUUGGCUAGAGGAUGGGAGAGGAGCGCGGAAUUCCCGGUGUAGC
rnacentral:rRNA from 1 species